AGAAUUUUUCAAUCAAGUCCAAAAAAUCAACAGAACAAAAAUAAAAAACAAAAAGAAUUUCAAUUCAUCAAAAGAUUCAAAUUGUGUGGAAUCUCUUACUAAUCUAAUUAAGGAUCGUGACUGACUAAACUUGAACAAUUUUUAAGACCAAAUUAGACUUCCCUUUUCCCAAUAAUUACAUCUUUUUGCCAUCAGUUCUCAAUACUCAAAACUCACAUAAAUGCCCUUUCUUAAAACCCUCACUUCACUCUUUCCAUCGAGAAAAUUUCUGUCACUUUCUCGAGAAAAUUGGAAAAAAAAUAAUCUCAAUCUCUGUUGAUUAAUGGAGGCGAAGAACGAGCCGUUGCCGGAGCACCUCCGUUGCAAGCGAACAGACGGCCGGCAAUGGCGGUGCAAUCGGAAAGUAUUGGAGGACAAAAAGCUCUGCGAAGUUCAUCAUCUUCAAGGUAGGCAUAGACAGUACAAGAGAAAAGUACCGGAGUCAUUGAAGAUACAGAGGAAUUAUAUUAAUAGCAAGAAAUUGAAGAAUAAUGUGGAUUCAAUUUCUGAUGAAAAUGGUGGAAUUAGGGCACAGAAAUUGGGGAAAUGGAGGAAGAAAAAGAAGAAGAAGCAAUUGGGGGGUGAAAGUAGAGGGGAUUUGCAAUUGGAGUUGAUUAGAAUGGUUUUGAAUAGAGAAGUUGAUAAAAAAAAGAAAAAUAAAAAGAAAAAUAUCAAGAACAAUGUAGUUAAGGAAAUUAAUAAUGGUAAUGGGGAUGAUGAUGAUGAUGACGACGUGGACUGUAGUAGUAAUAGUGAAGAAGGUGAGUUAAUGAGAGAUUUGCCUAAUGGUUUGAUGGCAAUUUCUCCUGCUAAACAUAAGUUUAGCAAUGGAGGUGGUUCUUGUUCUACUAGUCGGUGCGAUAUCAAAAUCGGAGCUGUUGCUGCUGAUUUUAAUGCACUUACUAGAAGGUGUUUUAGGUCUAAAAAUAUCGAGCCAAUGCCGGCCGGUCCAUUGCAGGUUGUGCCUUUCAAGAAGGAUAUAGUGAGAUUGAGAAAAGGGAAGAGGAAAAAGUGCCAUUGGUGUAGGAGAAUUGGAUUGAAGAGUUUAAUUAGGUGUUCUAGUUGCAGGAAGCAAUUCUUUUGCAUGGAGUGCAUCAAAAAACAGUACUUUGAUAUGCAAGAAGAAGUUAAGAUUGCAUGUCCAGUUUGCCGUGGAACUUGUACCUGUAAGACCUGCUCAGCAGUUCAAAGUAGGGACAUUGAAUGUAAGGGCAUCUCCAAGGACAAGAGUAAAGUCAACAAAGUUUUGUAUUUUCAUUAUUUGAUCUGUAUGCUCCUUCCUGUAUUGAAAGAAAUAAAUCAAGAUCAGAGCGUUGAGCUAGAAUUAGAGGCAAAAAUAAGAGGCCAGAAACCAUCUGAUCUUCAAGUCCAGCAGGCUGAAGCUGGAUGCAGCAAGCAGUAUGCUUGCAACAAUUGUAAGACUUUCAUUGUUGAUUUCCAUAGAAGCUGCCCAAGCUGUUCUUAUUACCUUUGCUUAAAUUGUUGUCGGGACAUCUUUAAAGGGAGCUUACGUGGGAGUGUUAAAGGCCUUCUAUGCAAGUGUCCUACUAGAAAGAAAGCUGAUAUGUCUGGAAACCAAUAUUUGGAAAUGAAAUCAGUGUGUGUUUAUAAACAGAACAAUGGCAGGAAAAAUGUUGAAUGUUCUAUGUCAUGUCCCAGUUCGAAAGUAUCUGAUGGUAAUGGUGGCAUACCUUGUCCGCCGACAGAGUUUGGUGGUUGUGGCAAUAAUCUCCUUGAAUUAUGUUGUGUUUUCCCCUCAAGUUGGACCAAGGAACUGGAAAUAAGUUCAGAGGAGUUUAUAGGUUGUUAUGAGUUGCCAGAAACUAUAGAUGUUUUUUCUCGCUGCUCAUUAUGUGUGGAUAUCAAUUGUGAAGUUGAUGGGAAUAUGCAGAUGCAAGAAGCAGCUGCAAGAGAACAAUCUAAUGACAACUUUCUAUAUUAUCCUACUGUUAAGGACAUUCACAGGGAUAACCUCGAACACUUUCAAAAGCACUGGGGCAAAGGUCAACCUGUAAUAGUUCGUAAUGUUCUUCAGGGGGCAUCUGAUCUGAGUUGGGACCCAAUAGUCAUGUUCUGCACUUACCUUAAAAAUAAUGCUGCCAAAUCUGAGACCGAGCAGGUUGCUGAUUGCUUGGACUGGUUUGAGGUAGAAAUUGGCGUGAAGCAGCUUUUCAUGGGUUCCUUAAAAGGCCCAACACAUGCCAACAUGUGGCAUGAAAGACUUAAAUUGAAGGGCUGGCUUUCUUCUCAUUUAUUUCAAGAACAUUUUCCAGCUCAUUAUGCUGAAAUCCUUCACACUCUACCACUCCCAGAAUAUAUGGAUCCUGUGUCUGGUGUUUUAAACAUUGCUGCAGAAUUGCCUCAAGAAUUCAUGAAGCCUGACCUCGGUCCGUUUAUUUAUAUUUCAUAUGGUAGUGGUGAGAAUAUUUUACAGGCUGAUUCUGUGACAAAAUUACGAUAUGAUUCCUACGAUGUGGUUAAUAUUCUGACACAUACUGCUGAUAUCCCUGUAUCAACAGAACAACUUAAUUACAUAAGAAAGUUAAUGACAAAACACAAGGAACAAAAUCAAGUGAAUGGAGUGGCACCAUUAGAUGGACAAAAUAUGGAAGAAGUAGGUAUGCAUGAUAUGAUCACAGAAGAAAUGAGCCUACACAAGAAAGUUGCGAGGAUGUCUUGGUUCUCUGCUGCUAGCCGCGAAGUACAUACUUCUAAAAUCAAAAAUCGGGAUUUGCUACUUGAUGGGGAUGAUGAUUCUGAUUCUGAUACAGAUACUGAUACUGAGGUGUCAAAGUUUUUCGUUGGCCCUGUUAGAAACUCUAGAGCGUUAGAAAAUCUCAAAUUUCAAGGGAAGCAUCGAGAAAGUUCCGAUCAGUUUAGAAAGCAAAAACCUGCUGAAUCUUGUGGAUCCCGGUGGGAUGUCUUCCGCAGACAGGAUGUUCCAAAACUUGUUGAAUACUUGAGAAGGCACUCUAAUGAGUUCACUCAAACGUAUGGCUUUAGGAAGCACGUUGGUCAUCAAAUACUUGAUCAGAGCUUCUAUCUCGAUACAAUUCAUAAAAUGAGGCUCAAGGAAGAAUUCAAAAUUGAACCCUGGACUUUUGAGCAACAUGUUGGAGAAGCUGUCAUCAUUCCUGCUGGAUGCCCAUACCAAAUUCAAAAUCUUAAGUCGUGUGUUAAUGUGGUCCUGGACUUCGUCUCUCCUGAAAAUGUUACUGAAUGUAUCCAACUGGUUGACGAGCUUCGUCUGCUUCCAGAGAACCAUAAAGCUAAAGCAGAUAGUCUCGAGGUGAAGAAGAUGGCCCUUUACAGUAUUAGCAGAGCAGUCAAAGAAAUCCGUGAACUUACAUGUGCGGAGUAAGCGCCAUUAUUAAACAUGUUGUGCAUGAAAUCCGUGAACUUACAUGUGCGGAAACCAGUGGUGAGCCAAAUGGUCAACUGUGAGAACGGGUAAUGGGAUGUAAAAUGAGUCUACUAAAUGCCAUUUGAGCUAUUGUACUUAUUAUAUUUUGUGGCAGUAUUGAUCAUUUGCUAUAGCAUGUAUAGCAGCAUGCAGAAAUUUUGAUAUCAAUAGCACUAAUUUCUGCAGAUGUAGAUUAACAUUCAUUGUCGCGCUACCGCUAUAGCUGGUGUAUGUAAUUGUGAUUAAUUAAUUGGUUGUAUAUAAUAGAAGAUGCCAGAUUAUCAUUGUUUA